rnacentral:rRNA from 1 species
UGUUUCGGCAAGGGGGUCAUCCCGACUUACCAACCCGAUGCAAACUGCGAAUACCGGAGAAUGUUAUCACGGGAGACACACGGCGGGUGCUAACGUCCGUCGUGAAGAGGGAAACAACCCAGACCGCCAGCUAAGGUCCCAAAGUCAUGGUUAAGUGGGAAACGAUGUGGGAAGGCCCAGACAGCCAGGAUGUUGGCUUAGAAGCAGCCAUCAUUUAAAGAAAGCGUAAUAGCUCACUGGUCGAGUCGGCCUGCGCGGAAGAUGUAACGGGGCUAAACCAUGCACCGAAGCUGCGGCAGCGACGCUGAUGCGUUGUUGGGUAGGGGAGCGUUCUGUAAGCCUGCGAAGGUGUGCUGUGAGGCAUGCUGGAGGUAUCAGAAGUGCGAAUGCUGACAUAAGUAACGAUAAAGCGGGUGAAAAGCCCGCUCGCCGGAAGACCAAGGGUUCCUGUCCAACGUUAAUCGGGGCAGGGUGAGUCGACCCCUAAGGCGAGGCCGAAAGGCGUAGUCGAUGGGAAACAGGUUAAUAUUCCUGUACUUGGUGUUACUGCGAAGGGGGGACGGAGAAGGCUAUGUUGGCCGGGCGACGGUUGUCCCGGUUUAAGCGUGUAGGCUGGUUUUCCAGGCAAAUCCGGAAAAUCAAGGCUGAGGCGUGAUGACGAGGCACUACGGUGCUGAAGCAACAAAUGCCCUGCUUCCAGGAAAAGCCUCUAAGCAUCAGGUAACAUCAAAUCGUACCCCAAACCGACACAGGUGGUCAGGUAGAGAAUACCAAGGCGCUUGAGAGAACUCGGGUGAAGGAACUAGGCAAAAUGGUGCCGUAACUUCGGGAGAAGGC